GUCAGCACCCCGCACUGAAGUUGCGGGGCUAGGCUACGCCUCGCUGCGCGCCCGUGCCCCCCCCGUUUCAGUUAGCUGACCAGCCUAAGUCUUAAAUGACUACGUUUUUAAGGUCAUAAUACCUACGAAUGCCUCGCUAGUUCGUAGCUCUAUU
rnacentral:sRNA from 17 species